UACGUAGGUGGCAAGCGUUGUCCGGAUUUACUGGGCGUAAAGAGCUCGUAGGCGGUUCGUCGCGUCGGCUGUGAAAUCCCGAGGCUCAACCUCGGGUCUGCAGUCGAUACGGGCGGACUGGAGUUCGGCAGGGGAGACUGGAAUUCCUGGUGUAGCGGUGAAAUGCGCAGAUAUCAGGAGGAACACCGGUGGCGAAGGCGGGUCUCUGGGCCGAUACUGACGCCGAGGAGCGAAAGCGUGGGGAGCGAACAGG
rnacentral:rRNA from 1 species